UUCUUUAUUCUUGCUCUUCUUAGGUUCUUUUGCUGUAGACAGCAUAGCUUCAAAUCAAGGCAUCAAAGAUGGUGAGACCAUUGUUUCAACUGGAGGAAUGUAUGAACUGGGCUUUUUUAGCCCCAGUAACUCAAACGAUCGGUACCUGGGAAUAUGGUUCAAGAAGAUAUCAACAGGUAGAGUGGUAUGGAUUGCUAACAGAGACUUUCCAUUACUCAAUAGAACAGGAAAACUCAAAGUCAGUAGUGAGGGACUCCUGUUGCUUUCCUGCUGUGGUGAUACAGUAAUCUGGUCAUCCAAUUCCUCUGCUUCUGUCAGGUACAAUAACAAUCCAGUGGCACAACUUUUGGAUACUGGAAAUUUUGUUGUAAAAGAUGGUAGUAGUAAUAGUAGUAGUUCUAUUCAAACAAAUUUCAUAUGGCAAAGUUUUGAUUAUCCUGAUGACACUUUGCUAGCUGGAAUGAAACUUGGUAAGGAUUUUGUAAGAGGCAUAAACAGGAGCUUGACAUCAUGGAAGAGUCCUGACGAUCCUUCUACAGGUCAGUAUGUAAGUUAUGUAGAUACAAAUGGAUACCCACAAUUAAUUGUGAGCCAAGGUUUAGUAAUAGACUUAAGAUUUGGACCAUGGAACGGCAUCAGGUUUAGUGGUUUGCCUUUUGAGACGUCAAAUCCAAUAUACUCUCAUGAUUUUGUUGUCAACCAGAAGGAAGUAUAUUAUAAAUUCGAGCUUAAGAGUUCAAUUUUUCAGAUAAUAUCUUUGAGGUGGGAUGGAAGCAUAGCAUUGUUGCAUUGGAACAAUCGAAGUCAAAAUUGGGUUGUGUAUACAAGUGGUCUGAUAGACAGUUGUGUUCGCUAUGGAAUCUGUGGUCCUUAUGGAAGCUGUAACAUCAACAGAAAUCCUCCUUGUAAUUGUAUGGAAGGUUUUGAACCAAAAAGCCCUGAAGAAUGGAACAUAGCAGACUGGUCUAAUGGGUGUAAGCUCCAAAGUCCUUUAGAUUGUAAGGGUGGGGAUGCCUUUCGGAAAGUUACUAAAAUGAAAUUUCCUGACACGCGAUAUUCAUGGUACAAUAGGAGCAUGACACUUGGCGAGUGUGAGAUAGCCUGCAGGAAAAAUUGCACUUGUACAGCUUAUGCGAAUUUAGAUAUCAGAAAAGAGGGGAGUGGAUGCUUACUAUGGUUUGGUGAAUUGAUGGAUCUCAAUGUCUGUGAAGAGAACCAAGAUCUUUACAUAAGAAUGCCUGCGUCCCUACUAACAGGUACUCUAAAUUUUUCACAACACUUCAUAUUUUUAACAUCAACAAUUACAUAGGGGAAAACACCAAAUAGGGACAAGAAAGCUAAACAAGCCAAUCUGAACUAUAAUACUACUUUAGAAAUGAGAUUGGUUAUAACUUUAGUAAGAAAAGCUGUUGAACUUGUUUCAUUUUGUAAAUGAAGGUCUUACAGUCUCCCAACCUGGCUUCAAUAGAAAGAUUGAAAUACUCAUCAUAGUCAUGCCAACUUUGGUGAUCUUAAUGGGCCUGUCUGUAGCAGUGUAUGCUUUCAGCAUGAAAAAGAAAAGGUCUUACAUCAAAGGUCGAGGUAAGGAAAACAUUAAACAAUUCACAAUGCCAUACUGGAAUUGUUUUUUUUCAGAAAAAUGUAAAACAAAAGGAAAAGUAGACAUUUCUGUUACUCAUGUAUAUCACUUUGUAGGUCGAAGGGUACACUCCACUGAUAGACAUAAUUCAGAUGUAGAGAAGGAAGAUCUAGAGAUGAAUUUUGUUAGCUUAUCUAUAAUAACCAAGGCUACCAAUAACUUCUCAAUAGACAAUAAGCUUGGAGAAGGUGGCUUUGGUCCUGUUUACAAGGUAACUUUUUGCCUAAAAUUAUUGUUUGCCCAUUUAGCAGAAAAGUAAAGCUAAUCAAAUUCCUGAGUAUAAUCUUUAGGGAGUAUUGGAAACAGGACAAGAAAUAGCUGUGAAGCAACUUUCUAGAACUUCUGAACAGGGUUAUGAUGAGUUCUACAAUGAAGUUGUUUGUGUUGCCAAACUUCAACAUCGGAAUCUUGUGAAGCUUGUUGGAUACUGCAUGGAUGGAGAUGAAAGGAUCCUGAUUUAUGAAUACAUGUCUAACAAAAGCCUGGACUUACUUCUAUUCGGUUAAACUCUUUCACCAUUCCAUUAUUUUCAUUACAUAAUAAAAGUAAUCUGUUAAAUCUAAAUCUUGUGUUGACAGAUGAAACCAAAAGUUGCAUGCUUGACUGGCCUCAACGUUUUUGCAUCAUCAAUGGGAUUGCUAGAGGAAUGCUUUAUCUCCACCAAGAUUCUCGCCUUCGAAUCAUACACAGAGACCUGAAAGCAGCCAAUAUUCUGUUGGAUCAUGACAUGAACCCUAAAAUAUCAGAUUUUGGCCUUGCUAGAGAGUUUGAAGGAAACCAGAUCACUGCAAAAACGAAGAAAGUGGUUGGAACAUAGUAAGUAUCUGUAUGUAUAGUAUAUACUAUGACCAUGGGGCUCAUUUCCUGAUGCUUAUAUAUACAUCAUGCUUUUUGGUGGUUUUACAGUGGUUACAUAUCACCCGAGUAUGCACUUCAUGGACGCUUUUCUGUAAAAUCAGAUGUGUUCAGUUUUGGUGUUUUGGUGCUGGAGAUAGUGAGUGGGAAGAAAAACAGAGAAUUCUCACAUGAAGAUCUCAAUGAUAACCUUCUUGGACAUGUAAGUAAAUCUCAUGGAUUAAUUAUCUUCUUUUGAAAAUAUUUUAUUAACUUUUUGGUUUUCAUUCAGGCAUGGAGACUGUAUACAGAAGGCAAGUACCUUGAUCUCAUGAGCCCAUCUUUACACAACUCAUGCAUUAUCUCAGAGGUGAAAAGAUCAAUACAUGUUGGGCUUUUAUGUGUACAAAAUCAUGCACAAGAUAGACCAACUAUGUCCUCUGUGGUUAUGAUGUUGGGUGGUGAGGGAUCACUACCUCCACCUAGACAACCUGCUUUCUUUGCUGAAGAAGGUUCACGUAAGCACUACACUUUUUCCAAAGUUGAUGAAGCAACUAUAACAUUGUUAGUUCCUCGGUAGGAAAUUUGUAUUCAUAUGCCAAAUAGUAAUGUAUAUUUAGCCUCGACACAUUCUUCUCCUACACCAUUAGUUGUUUUUUGUGUAUUAUGUAUCAUUAAGCUGCAUGCUUUUGUCAUUUGUAUCAUAUUUGAGUAUGCCUUUUCCUUCCAUGGGUAUUAUAGUGGCCACAACACAACAAAAGACACACAUACACAUUACAUGGGGUAUAACUAUCUUGUAUAUGAUCGUUACUACAGAGAAAUUGGUUGUAUGCCAUGUCAUCAGAUGUUCAUUGGCUUUGUGUGUGAUUUAUUCUUGUUUAUUCAUAACACUACUCUUAUAACUUGAUUAUCAAAAUAUCUUGUUGAGUCUUACAAAUCUCACCUAAUCAAUCAUGGACAUUCAGUUUUUAUAGGGUUCAAGUUUCUAUAAGAGGGAUGACAAGAUUGAGAAGUAACUUUUACACACUUUAAGAGUAUUUGGAUGUGUCUUUUAUAUCAAGAUCAAGGGUGCUGACAUAAACAAUCGAGGCAAGUGCCAAGAAAUACAUAUUUUUUUACUAGGUUGGGAUAAUAUGGGAUAUACUUUUCUGGAUUAUCAGAUUAUAAGAAGAAUGAAUGUUAUAUUCAAUUGGAAUAUAAAGAUGAUCUUGCAACACCUUUAUUAUAAAGAAAGAAGAAACCACAUGGAAAGGAGCAAGUAAUGCUUUAGAAGUAUAUUAAUACACCAAACUGGUAGAAGAUCCCGUCCCCAUCAACAAAUUAUUUUCUAUUGAAUAUACCGACUUCUCCCCAUGCAAAAAGAUUCAACAUUUAGGGAUUAAGAGAGAAGGGUGUCAAUCCGGUUACAAAAGUUUCAUUAGCUCUUGCCUAAACCUUAAGAUGAAGUAUGAUCUGAAGUUCAAAAGUGAGAAAUGUGACAACGUAUCUGCAUGACUGGAAGCCGUAUUUUGUUUUUGAAGUCACCGGAUCAAACGGUCAAUGGUCAAUGGUCUGGAAUAUCAUUUCAUUGAAUCUGAUUUGCCACAAACAAAUCCGAUAUCACAACCUUCAUGUAUUAUAUCGUUCGUGGGGUCCAUUUGCAUGUUUUAUCAUUAUUUGGACAUAUGUGAACGUUUACUGUUUUUUUCAAUAGAUUUUUUUGUUUCAUGUGAAAAACAUGAGUUGAUAUAACUUAUAAUCAUAAAAUCAGAAAUAAUCAUAAAAUCAUAAACACAUAAGAACAUAAAUAUNNNNNNNNNNNNNNNNNNNNNNNNNNNNNNNNNNNNNNNNNNNNNNNNNNNNNNNNNNNNNNNNUUUAUAUGCUUUUUAAAUCUUUUUUUGAAAGCUUUUUAAAAUUUGAAAAAAUCAUUUUGUUUUUUUUUUAAGAUUGCCAAAUCUUUUUUUGUGACUUAUUAAUUUUUUUUAAGCGUUGUUUCGAAAAGACAAAACUACAAAAAUGGUCUUUGUGGUUUGACGAUUUUUUUUAGGUAAGGUCUAAAAAAAGUUUACUAGUAAAAAAUGCCCUACUACAAUCUAUUUCUUUUCAUGGGUUUGUUAUGCAUUGUGUGGGUAGUCAGCCAGUGUAGUUUGUGUAGUUUUUUGUCGAGAGUUCAUGAUUGUAUGCGAAGAUCCGCGAUUUCCUAUGAGAUUAUGUGACAGGGAAAGAUAGUAGAAGACAAUGAAUGGAUGAACUAACAAGGAGUGUGUAGAUCAAACCUCCUAGUGGUUUGAAUGGUGGUGGGUAUAGCAGAAAAUGGUCGAUUUAGUGGCAAAUAUGGAGAAUUCCGACAGAUUGUGAAGAACUUGUAGUAGGUGGCUACUAGCGGUAUUGGGUGUAAUGGUAGGGUUUCCAUCGGACCUCCAAUGAAGGAGAUUGGCAGUGGUCUUUCCGAUUUUCGAUGUUAGGAGGCGGUGUUUUUGCGUGCUUCCGCAACUUUGUGGUGGACACAAUAAAAUUAAAAAAUUAAUAUUAUAUAUUAAAAAUAAUUUAAUAAUAUAAUAAAAAAGAAUUAAUACAAUAAAACAAUUAAAAAAGUUAAUUUGAAGAUAUCAACAAUAAAAGUAAUAUUUAAUAAUAUAUGAAUAUUAUUUAUUAAAAAUAAUAUUUAAUAAUAUAUAAUAAUCCAAGAAAAAAAUUAAUCCAAUAAAAAUUAGUUAAGAAAAAACUUAUUAAAAGAGUUAAUGUAUAAUAUUUCAAUAAAAUUAAAAAUAAAAAUUGUAGAAAUUGUCCUUAUAGUUUGGUAAAAAAGAUACAACUUUAAAAAUAAUCUCUAAGGAUAAAAUUGUCAUUUAAAAAAAAAUUAACAGUUAAACUGUUAAACUUAAUGAGAUAGAAACCAAAACCAAAACCUUUUUUUUUGAACGGCAAGUACAAUAUAUUCUUAAACUACUCCUAAAUCCACAUAUGUCUUAGAAGAUACUUGAACCCUCAACCUAAAGGAGGGAGGACAACACCUGAUAAUGACAUUUUUUGUUAGACUAUGCGGUACGAGACCGUUAAGUAGAGGAAGAUCAAAUGGCGAAAGAUUUGACAAUUCUUCGCACUCGGGAGGAAGAUAUAACGCCACGAGAAGUGCAAGUGGUACGAAAAAUGAAUGAGAAGAUUGAAAAUAAAUAUUUGGACUAGGACUAUUGUAACGUUUUUAUAUUUUUAAAUUAUGACUAUUGUAUUUUUGUGUUUAUUAUUAUUUUUUUCUUGUGUAACAUUAUUUUUAGUUUUUUUUAUGUAAUGUUUAAUUUAGGAUUUAAUUAAAUAGCAUAUCUUAUUGAUUUAUAUUUUUUUUAUAAACAUUAUAAUAUAAAUAAAAAAACAAAGGGUCAAUUACUAAUCUAGCUAAACUAAAGAAGUGAUUAACGAUUUUUAGCCAAAAAUUAGGAUUUUUCUCAAACUAGUCCACGAAACCGUAGGUGGUUAAAAUGGUCUACUGUUUCGCCCAUUCACCUAUUGUUUUGAUUUUAGUAUAUAAAGAUUUUUUUUUUCAUUUUUCACUAUGAAACCGUAGACGAAAAAAUGGUCUACUGUUUCCUCGGAGAAGUCUGCUGUUUCCCAAAUAGUAGAUUACAAAUGAUCUACUGUUUCGUCUAAAACCUACAGUUUUAGUUUUUUUUUAAUGAAAAAAAAAACACUAACUUUUACUGUAAAAGUUUGUUUUUUUCUUUUAAUAUAUAGUAGGUACAAUAUAGUAGUAAAAAAGUUAGUGUUUUUUUCAUUUAAAAAAAACACAAAACCGUAGGUUUUUAGACGAAACAGUAGAUCAUUUUUAAUCUACUAUUUGGGAAACAGUAGACUUCUCAGAGGAAACAGUAGACCAUAUUUUUGUCUAUGGUUUUGUAGUGAAAAAUGAAAAAAAAAAAAAACUCUUUAUAUACUAAAAUCAAAACAGUAGGUAAAUGGGCGAAACAUUAGACCAUUUUAACCACCUACAGUUUCAUGGGCUAGUUUGGGACAAAUCCUAAUUUUUGGCUAAAAUGUGAGAAGUCAUUAAUGAAUUUGGUUAGAUUAGUAAUUUUUCCAAAAACAAAUAAAAGAAAAGAAAUCGAAAAAAACAAUGAUAUGAAAAUUGAUAGGUGUUAAAUUAUGUUGUUUAUUUCCUAUUUUUGUAUUAUAAGACCAUGGGAUGGGAUGACUUAUAUGAUAUUUUUUUAGUAUGAUAUCAUGUCUUCUCAUUUUACUGACAUCCUCUUCGUAAUUUUUUUUUGACUUUACCUAAAUAAAUCAGGAAACCACAUCGACCAUUUCUACGGUUUUUCUUUCGAAAAACAAUUCGUGACACCCCCUUAUUAAGGCUGUCAAAUCGGACAGUCAUGUCGUGUUUUUUUCUGACACGACACGACACGACAAGGUUUUGGAUGACACGAACACGACACGACAUGAUGUCGUGUUUUUUUUUUCAUUAACACGAAAACGAACCAAUUAAAACACGACACGACACGAAAAAGAUAAUAUUACAUAACUAUUAGUGUAUUUCAUUCAUACUUAAAGAUAUAUAGCACGACAAAAACGACAAACACGACAACUAUAUGCUUAAUCGUGUCAAUUUAUGAACACGACACGAUAUCGUGUUUUUUAAUCUUGACACGAACACGACACGAGCACGAAUUCGAAUUUUGAUUUCCUUCCGAUUUUAUUCCGUUUCGUGUAUUUUUGUUGUGUCGUGUCAUAAAUUGACACCCCAACCCCUUAUAAGUUAUAACCCGAACCGAAUUACCUUAUCUUCAUUCGGUCCGGGUAACCCGCAACAUAUUUCGUCGCUCUUUUGAUUUUUUAAAGCAGACAAAAAUCAAAAGUCUAAAUUCUGGAGACUUUGCCUUCCUUCUUGAUUUUGACUUUGCUACUGAUGCUCGCGGGAUGCGAAUUGAAUUCCGAGUUAUUCUGAGGAAGGUAAAAAAACAGUGUCAUAGCGCGGGUGCAUUUAAUUUUGUUUCUAUUAUUUGAUGCUAUGAUUCGAAGGUAUGAACAUGAUCUCUGACUGAAUUUUGAGUUUCAUGUUUAUACUUUUGUUUGACAAAUAAGUUGAUUAUUAUUUUGAUGUUUCGCUCACUGCUUUUACUUGUAAUUGCUGUACAAUGUCGGUUUAGAGUUACAUAUUCGAUUGAUUGAAUGUGACUGAGUUAAAUGGAAAUACUUAGUACUGAAUCGGUAAUAGUCAAACGUUUUAUUGUUUAUUAUGUAUCCCUUAUAUUUAUUGUCGGAUGCAAGCAGCAAUAUUAAUUGCUGUGGCUUGGACAGAGUAUCUAAAAUAUUCAUUUAAAUAAGUUAAAUUGAAUCUUUCAAAUUUGAACAGCUCGAAGGAGAUAAGAUAUGUUCAUUCGUCAGCAGAUCAACACAGGAAAGAGCACGUGAACAACGAUAAGCUGUGAAAUCUAUAAAUAUCCAAGACGCUUUCUUUAAUACAAAUAAAUUUAUUUUUUUGGCAGGUUUUGUUCCUUUUUAAUAUAAAAUCUCAAUCACAAUUAUGGGGUCCACGCCCGCGGUCAGCUAUGUCUGCGCUCCCAACCUGACAGUAUUUUCCCGAGGAAGAAAUAAUUUAGUAAAUCGUUGAUGGAAGGCCUUUUCACAAGUUUAUUGUGCACCAUUUCUUUAUUCUUGCUCUUCUCAGGUUCUUUUGCUGUAAACAGCGUAGUUUCAAAUCAAGGCAUCAAAGAUGGUGAGACCAUUGUUUCAACUGGAGGAAUGUAUGAACUGGGCUUUUUUAGCCCCAGUAACUCAAACAAUCGGUACCUGGGAAUAUGGUUCAAGAAGAUAUCAACAGGUAGAGUGGUAUGGAUUGCUAACAGAGACUUUCCAUUACUCAAUAGAACAGGAAAACUCAAAGUCAGUAGUGAGGGACUCCUGUUGCUUUCCUGCUGUGGUGAUACAGUAAUCU
rnacentral:lncRNA from 1 species